GUCAUGACCUGGAUCUUUGGACUACAUUAGAGGAGGCAACACAGAAGUUUCUAAAGAAUGCAAGUAUUUCAACAAAUGAGGCUGGGGAAACGUAAUUGAUCACACACACACACAACACACACACACACACACACACACGUAAAUCGUUUCGGCAUCCGGCAGGGGCCGGGUGGAGAGAAGGGUCAGAGGUUCCACCCUAGUAACACAGAGGAAAGGGAGCCUGGAGGCUGGAAAAGCGCCUCCAGCAGAGAGCGACAGGCCUCGAGGGAUGAGGUGCACCGAGGCCUAGUGUAGGGGUGGGCAGGGCGCUGCGCCCCGCCGCGCUACUCCUCCUCCACAAGAGAGACGGGAUGCAGGCACCCGCCAGCGGUUGAGAAAACUCGACAGAUCCAGACAUCUGCCUUUUUCUUGUGCUCUAGCCAGGAGACUCAAGUCAAACCAACAUGAGGUCACCAGUCAAAUGGAGAUCUCGUCACCACUGGGUUCAUCACUGGCUGAUCUACCUGGAUUUGCUGCUGAAGACUGAUGGGGUUCGGGGCCUAAAGCCCCCAUUAAGGUGUCCUUCUCGGAGCCCUGAGUCUCACUGGAAGUCUCAAGGAGACACUCUCUGUACUUGUAGACAUGGAAGCAACAUAUAGUGUUCUUUCUGAGUUUGCAGGCCAUUGUAUUAAGUCCUCAGUCUCUGCAGUGGGUGUGACAGCCAACCUAUGCAGCCUCUUCAAACAGGACCUCUUCCGUGCAGGUUCCAGACUAUUCAUAGCUUUCUGGUAAUUUCGACGUGUCUCACACCCCUUUUAGGUAGGGAUCUUCUCCAAAAGCUUAACUUCCCCUUUACCUUCUGCCUCCCCUCAGCUCUCAUCCUCCAAACACCAUCAAAAUGCACCGCAAACCCAUCUCUCCCCUCUUCCCUUGUUGAUCCCAGCUGAUUCCCGGUUGAUCCCUCCAACCUCACCCAUGCCACCCAUGCUAUACCUGUUUUAAUUUGUCUCAGGGAUCCUUCCAUUUUUCCUUGUGUUCCCCAAUAUCCUACAGCUCCCAAAAUUUAUGAGGGCUUAAACCUAAAAUCACGUAUCUUUGUUUUUUUUUUAAAUCAGUACCAGGGAUCAAACUCACGACUGCCUGCUUGCCAGGAAGGCACUUAUGCCACUGAGCUAAAUCCCCAGCCCCAAAAUCACGUAUCUUUUAGACAGUGGUUUUCUCAGACCUGCCCGUUCACCCUGCAAUACUCCCAUUCUCCUGGUACUCAACCCUAAUGUGUCCUAUCAUCUGGUACAAGACCUUAGGGUCAUCAAUGACUCUGUUACCCCAGUUCACCUAGUGGUGCCAAACCCUUGUACUAUGUUCUUUCAUAUUCCUCCCUCCACCACUCACUUCAUAGUCCUAGACUUUAAAGAUGCCUUUUCUUUUUUUUACCGUCCCCCUAUACCCUGAUUGUCAGGAUUCCUUUGCAUUUAUGUGGAUAACCCAGACACUGUCAGGUUGUAACAACUUACACCUGUCAUUGCUGUGUUAGAACCUCUCCUCAGGGACACAUAUCACCCCCUUCCUUUCCUACUCAUCAGUUUCAUGGACACACCUGGUCAGACAGAUUUUACACACAUGCCCUGCCACAAAACUCUUAAAUAUCUUCUUACCUUUGUCUGUGCUUUUUCAGGAUAGAUAAAAGCCUUUCCCACAGCCAGAGACACUGAUGAUGUAGUUACUAAAGUCCUGUUACAAGAAAUCAUUCCAAGGUUUGGUCUAGCCUUUAUUUCUCAGAUCACUCAACAGGAUUACAACCAAAGUGGAGUGGCCCCUUCCGGGUCUUUUCUGAAACUCCAAUGGUGGUCAAGGUCACUGGACCGCCAUUCUGGUUCUGCGUCACUCAAGCUAAGCGGUGCCUUCCUAACCCUAGCUCCCCUGCCUCUACACAUCAUGAGUGGUCGUCACAUCUCCUGUCUCCCACCUGUCUCACCAAGAGCCCACAGCCGCAAUUUUCAGGCUAGGUCAUGUUUUGUUAUCCUAUUUGGUUCCUGAUCCCUAACACUAUUAGGUUUUUUUUGUUUUGUUUUGUUUUAUUUUGCUACAGGACUCUGGGCAGUCUUUCCUAAAGGCUCCCAAGUUAUAUGUAAAGUUAUUUCAUACUGUUCUAUGUAACAACUCUCUUAGUUCUCUCCAUCCUCAGCUGUUUAGUUAAACAUGAGACUCCUGUGGGUCUGGGCUCUUAGAGUGACGCAGGCACAGCCCUCCCCACCCUUAGUUUAUAAUUUCCCAAAUGUGAUUCCACGAUCAGCCCUGACCUUCCUCAUGUUUCCCAUUCUCUCCAGCUCAGCCCCUGGACCAAGGACAAGUCCUCCCUACACGUUUACUUCUGCCUUUUCAGACAGGGAAGUAAUGGCCCCCACAACUUCAGCACUCCCAACUCCAAGCUCAGCCUCACACAGUGAGGAUGGAACAGCACAUUCCAUCAGAUCCAGGGCACCUGUCCUUCUACCUCUCCUGGGUCCUUUAAUUAUGACAGUGUCCUGCCUCCUCAUAGCACCUUGUCUUUCUAUCUCUCCAAUUGAGAAUGUGAGCCUUUACCAACAAAGAACUCUUUGUCCUGACUGAAACACCAGUACCAGCCUCUAGAUGAACAUCAAUCAUCACCCCAUGGACCUCCUAAACCCCAAAAUGAUGCUCCCGUCCAGCAGAAAGUAGUAAGAGAUGAUCUUCACCCUUUUCCUAACAAUACAAAGAUGGGAAUGAAAGAUUCUCACCCUAGUAUAAAUUACUGUACAAUUAUGGUAGCAAUCUAUCAUGGUGGAAGGCCAAAGUGGGAAGCUUACCACUUCCUCCUCCUUCAGCCCUAACUGCAGCCCCUUCCUUGUUUGUGUGCAAAGAAUAUUCCAGUCAGUUCCUCACACAUCAUUAAUGUCUGCCCCACGCACCACUUCUGAUCAGAGGUCAUGUACCCCGCUGCCUCUCUGUAUCUGGUCGAAGGAGACAGCCCAGCCACCAUGGAUUGUGUGCUCCUUUCCACGUCCUCAAUUCAAUAAACCUGUUCAUUUUG